rnacentral:rRNA from 1 species
CUAGUUGGUGAGGUAAGAGCCCACCAAGGCAGAGAUCGGUAGCCGGCCUGAGAGGGCACACGGCCACACUGGCACUGAAACACGGGCCAGACUCCUACGGGAGGCAGCAGUGGGGAAUCUUGCACAAUGGGGGAAACCCUGAUGCAGCGACGCCGCGUGAGCGAUGAAGCCCUUCGGGGUGUAAAGCUCUUUCGUCAGGGAAGAUCAUGACGGUACCUGGAGAAGCAGCUGCGGCUAACUACGUGCCAGCAGCCGCGGUAAUACGUAGGCAGCAAGCGUUGUUCGGAGUUACUGGGCGUAAAGGGUGUGUAGGCGGUUCUUUAAGUUUGGUGUGAAAUCUCCCGGCUUAACCGGGAGGGUGCGCCGAAUACUGAGGGACUAGAGUGUGGGAGAGGAAAGUGGAAUUCCUGGUGUAGCGGUGAAAUGCGUAGAUAUCAGGGGGAACACCGGUGGUGUAGACGGCUUUCUGGACCAUAACUGACGCUGAGACACGAAAGCGUGGGUAGCAAACAGGAUUAGAUACCCUGGUAGUCCACGCCCUAAACGAUGCAUAUUUGGUGUGGGUCAUUCAGUUGAUCCGUGCCGGAGCUAACGCGUUAAAUAUGCCGCCUGGGGAGUACAGUCGCAAGGCUGAAACUCAAAGGAAUUGACG